rnacentral:rRNA from 1 species
GCAGCCGCCGCGGUAAUACGAAGGGUGCAAGCGUUACUCGGAAUUACUGGGCGUAAAGCGUGCGUAGGUGGUGGUUUAAGUCCGUUGUGAAAGCCCUGGGCUCAACCUGGGAAUUGCAGUGGAUACUGGGUCACUAGAGUGUGGUAGAGGAUAGUGGAAUUUCCGGUGUAGCAGUGAAAUGCGUAGAGAUCGGAAGGAACAUCUGUGGCGAAGGCGACUAUCUGGGCCAACACUGACACUGAGGCACGAAAGCGUGGGGAGCAAACAGGAUUAGAUACCCCCGUAGUCCCUGUCUCUUAUAC